rnacentral:rRNA from 1 species
UGGGGAAUAUUGGACAAUGGGCGCAAGCCUGAUCCAGCAAUACCGCGUGUGUGAAGAAGGCCUGCGGGUUGUAAAGCACUUUCAAUUAGGAAGAAAGACUAAUGGUUAAUAUCCAUUAGUCUUGACGUUACUUUUAGAAGAAGCACCGGCUAACUCCGUGCCAGCAGCCGCGGUAAUACGGAGGGUGCAAGCGUUAAUCGGAAUUACUGGGCGUAAAGCGUGCGUAGGUGGUUUGUUAAGUCAGAUGUGAAAGCCCCGGGCUCAACCUGGGAACUGCAUUUGAAACUGGCAAACUAGAGUAUAGGAGAGGAAAAGU